UACGAAGGGGGCUAGCGUUGUUCGGAAUUACUGGGCGUAAAGGGCGCGUAGGCUGUGCUGUAAGUCAGGCGUGAAAGCCCCGGGCUCAACCUGGGAAUUGCGCUUGAUACUGCGGCGCUGGAAGGUGGGAGAGGAUGGCGGAAUUCCCAGUGUAGAGGUGAAAUUCGUAGAUAUUGGGAAGAACACCGGUGGCGAAGGCGGCCAUCUGGCCCACAUUUUGACGCUGAGGCGCGAAAGCGUGGGGAGCAAACAGG
rnacentral:rRNA from 1 species